UUUGAAGUUAUUCAUCGUGGUUGAAGUUCUCGGUUGUGGUAGGUGAAACCCUUGCUGUGGUGUGCCGUUGUCAAGUGGUCUGUCGUGGUGAGUACAUUUUUAUACUGAUAAUUCUUCUUUGACCGUGUAAUUUUCUGUUUCGCUUGUAUUGUUGUGUUCAAAAUAUUUAUGAUGUUAUGGACUUGUUUGAGUUUCCCGUCAUCUCUCCUCUCGAAUCUCGUCGUCUAUCCUCUGCAACGACGUC
rnacentral:lncRNA from 1 species